GAUGAACGCUGGCGGCGUGCCUAAUACAUGCAAGUCGAGCGAACAGAUGAGGAGCUUGCUCCUCUGACGUUAGCGGCGGACGGGUGAGUAACACGUGGAUAACCUACCUAUAAGACUGGGAUAACUUCGGGAAACCGGAGCUAAUACCGGAUAAUAUAUUGAACCGCAUGGUUCAAUAGUGAAAGACGGUUUUGCUGUCACUUAUAGAUGGAUCCGCGCCGCAUUAGCUAGUUGGUAAGGUAACGGCUUACCAAGGCAACGAUGCGUAGCCGACCUGAGAGGAUGAUCAGCCACACUGGAACUGAGACACGGUCCAGACUCCUACGGGAGGCAGCAGUAGGGAAUCUUCCACAAUGGGCGAAAGCCUGACGGAGCAACGCCGCGUGAGUGAUGAAGGUCUUCGGAUCGUAAAACUCUGUUAUUAGGGAAGAAAAAAUGUGUAAGUAACUAUGCACGUCUUGACGGUACCUAAUCAGAAAGCCACGGCUAACUACGUG
rnacentral:rRNA from 1 species